UCAGUGGCUCGGCACUGCGCGGGCGGCAGGAGGGACCUCACGGCUCCGCGCUGAACUUUGACUCCCUCCGUCCCGGCCUCUCCUCGGGGCUCCCCGCUGCCCCCCGGCCCCGUCCCCGCUGCAGCGCAGGAUGCAGAUCUCACCCGUGCUGGCCGGAGGACUGCUGCUCGCUCUGCUCUCCGUCGGGCUGGAAGCGAAGCCGGCGUCCCAGCUCCCGCAGAAGGCGUCCCGCGGAGCAGCAGCGGCGGCGGCGGCGGCGGCGGCGGCGGGUCCGCCCGAGGCGGCGGGCGCGGAGCGGGACAAGGAGAAGGAGAAGGAGAGGAACCGCGGAGGAGGCGGCGGAGGCGGCGGCGCGGGGCCGCGGGAGGCGCGGGAGGCGCGGGCAGAGACGCGGCCCCGGGCGGGUUGGGCGCGGCUGCUGCAGGAGCCGUCGGGCCGCCGCCAUAAGGGGCUGCACAAGAAGGGGCUCGGGAAGGGCUGCUUCGGCCUCAAGCUGGACCGCAUCGGCGCCAUGAGCGGCCUCGGCUGCUGAGGGACCUCUGGCGAGCGCCGGAGCAGCUCCGUUGUGCCCCCAGGGCCGGGCACGGCCGCCCCGCAGGCACCGCCCGGAAGAGCAGAGACCCCCCCCGGAUCGGACAAAAGAUGUGGCUGUGUUUUUCUUUUCGAGCGGACAGAAGAGCUGGUUGGGAUGCUUUAGGAAAGGCAGGAGCCGCGGGAAGGCCGCGAUGGGGGAAGCUUUGAUCCUGCCUGCACAGUGAAGUCGUGCCCAGCGCCGCCGCGCUCGGACGGAGCGGAUUCUGCACGGCGGAACCACCUGAGCUCAGUCACAGCCCACAGCACAGCAGCGCCCGGCCCGGAUGGGAGCGCAGCAGUGCGACAGCUCGGCGCUGGGCUGCGGGCUGCAGUCCCCGUUCCGUGCCGUGCAGCUCUGCGUGCUGUACAGAGGUGCCAUCCCAGCACCGGAUGCAGCGGGGAGCAGAGCUUUGUGCUGGAGCUGCUCGCGCUGCAGGACCCGGCAGUUUGCUCAGCUGCUGAUAUUCCCUCUCGCUGCUAAGAUGUAGAGUCCUCUCGUGCGGCAGCGAUGUAUUUAACCAUGCCCGGGACAGUACGUACACCAAAAUACAGCGGAGCUGCCUGGGAAGGAUGCCCAGACGCAGCUUCUUGCUAUGUAAAGUGCAUGGAAUAAAUCUUUAAAACAGCUCUGUGCUCUGAAGGGCAAAGCCAGCGAGGGGGUGGGCAGCACAGCAAGGAGGCAAACUCCCACAUGAAGGCUCUUCGGUCUCAUUCUUCAGAGGCCCGAGGGAAGAGCAGCAGUGCCCAGCCCAGCCGUGAUGGGAGGCACCCACUGUGCCCUCCCCACUGGCACAUAGGGCAGGGCAAAGAGUCACUGAGACCUAAAGGCAGAGAGAUCCUUCCCCUCAGCAACCACCAGGAAACCUUAGAAACCUCCAGUCAUGCUCUCUCCAGCUAUUAGGGAACGUGAGCUUACAGAGCAGGAUUCAUCCUGACCCCCCCAACAGCCCAACCAUCAGGUUAGAAGUGUGCACGCAGCAUUUCCAGCCCGAUACAAGCAAAGCUCCCCACUCAGAGGCUGGUAUCCAUCUCAGUGCCCACAGCCCUUCAGCUUAUGGACCACAUAAGACAUUGCCUACAGGGAACAAAACACGCACCCUGGGAGGGAGGGAUGCAGCUCCGUGCCCAGCCUCAGCUCAGC